rnacentral:rRNA from 1 species
AUUGAACGCUGGCGGCAGGCCUAACACAUGCAAGUCGAACGGUAACAGGAAGAAGCUUGCUUCUUUGCUGACGAGUGGCGGACGGGUGAGUAAUGUCUGGGAAACUGCCUGAUGGAGGGGGAUAACUACUGGAAACGGUAGCAAAUACCGCAUAACGUCGCAAGACCAAAGAGGGGGACCUUCGGGCCUCUUGCCAUCGGAUGUGCCCAGAUGGGAUUAGCUAGUAGGUGGGGUAACGGCUCACCUAGGCGACGAUCCCUAGCUGGUCUGAGAGGAUGACCAGCCACACUGGAACUGAGACACGGUCCAGACUCCUACGGGAGGCAGCAGUGGGGAAUAUUGCACAAUGGGCGCAAGCCUGAUGCAGCCAUGCCGCGUGUAUGAAGAAGGACUUAGGGUUGUAAAGUACUUUCAGCGGGGAGGAAGGGAGUAAAGUUAAUACCUUUGCUCAUUGACGUUACCCGCAGAAGAAGCACCGGCUAACUCCGUG